rnacentral:rRNA from 1 species
AUUGAACGCUGGCGGCAGGCCUAACACAUGCAAGUCGAGCGGAUGAAGGGAGCUUGCUCCUGGAUUCAGCGGCGGACGGGUGAGUAAUGCCUAGGAAUCUGCCUGGUAGUGGGGGAUAACGUCCGGAAACGGGCGCUAAUACCGCAUACGUCCUGAGGGAGAAAGUGGGGGAUCUUCGGACCUCACGCUAUCAGAUGAGCCUAGGUAGGAUUAGCUAGUUGGUGGGGUAAAGGCCUACCAAGGCGACGAUCCGUAACUGGUCUGAGAGGAUGAUCAGUCACACUGGAACUGAGACACGGUACAGACUCCUACGGGAGGCAGCAGUAGGGAAUAUUGGACAAUGGGCGAAAGCCUGAUCCAGCCAUGCCGCGUGUGUGAAGAAGGUCUUCGGAUUGUAAAGCACUUUAAGUUGGGAGGAAGGGCAGUAAGUUAAUACCUUGCUGUUUUGACGUUACCAACAGAAUAAGCACCGGCUAACUUCGUG